UGAGACACGGUCCAGACUCCUACGGGAGGCAGCAGUAGGGAAUCUUCCGCAAUGGGCGAAAGCCUGACGGAGCAACGCCGCGUGAGUGAUGAAGGUCUUCGGAUCGUAAAACUCUGUUAUCAGGGAAGAACAAAUGUGUAAGUAACUGUGCACAUCUUGACGGUACCUGAUCAGAAAGCCACGGCUAACUACGUGCCAGCAGCCGCGGUAAUACGUAGGUGGCAAGCGUUAUCCGGAAUUAUUGGGCGUAAAGCGCGCGUAGGCGGUUUUUUAAGUCUGAUGUGAAAGCCCACGGCUCAACCGUGGAGGGUCAUUGGAAACUGGAAAACUUGAGUGCAGAAGAGGAAAGUGGAAUUCCAUGUGUAGCGGUGAAAUGCGCAGAGAUAUGGAGGAACACCAGUGGCGAAGGCGACUUUCUGGUCUGUAACUGACGCUGAUGUGCGAAAGCGUGGGGAUCAAACAGGAUUAGAUACCCUGGUAGUCCACGCCGUAAACGAUGAGUGCUAAGUGUUAGGGGGUUUCCGCCCCUUAGUGCUGCAGCUAACGCAUUAAGCACUCCGCCUGGGG
rnacentral:rRNA from 1 species